rnacentral:rRNA from 1 species
CAAGACCGGUGCCAGCCGCCGCGGUAAUACCGGCAGCUCGAGUGAUAGCCACUAUUAUUGGGCCUAAAGCGUCCGUAGCCGGCCGAACAGGUCCGUCGGGAAAUCCACCCGCUCAACGGGUGGACGUCCGGCGGAAACCAGUCGGCUUGGGGCCGGGAGACCAGAGAGGUACGUCCGGGGUAGGAGUGAAAUCCCGUAAUCCUGGACGGACCGCCGGUAGCGAAAGCGUCUCUGGAGAACGGACCCGACGGUGAGGGACGAAAGCUUGGGUCUCGAACCGGAUUAGAUACCCUGGUAGUC